ACAGGGUCAGUCUUGUGCAUGACUCCUGCUAGCAGUCUUGUCCCAAUGAUGUACAGUGCUACGCCUGCUACUGUCUCUGCAGCAACAACUCCUGCCACAAGUGUCCCCUACGCAGCAACAGCACCAGCCAAUCAGAUUAUCCUGAAAUAAGCGUCAGGAUGGGAAUGGAGUGUCACAAAGCUGCACUAGGAAACCCAAAACAGCCCCAGUGUAAAUACUACCUGACCUCUCCCAUAGAGGUCCAGCAACCUGCAUGCUAAGAGUGUAACACUUCAAUUUAACCAUACGAACUGCAGUGCCGGUGAAACACACACACAGAAAAAAGAUAUAUACUGUAUGUAUUGCUAGAAAAAAAACUAUUAACAUGAAAAAGUCAAAAAUAUUCUUAUGUAUUAUAGCAGACACACUAUAGAGGUCAUUUUAACAAAUGUUCUCCCAAAGUACCGUCGACCCCCCUCUCUUUCAUAUUUAUUCUAAAAACCUCUGCACAACAACGUUCACCCCCUUUGGUUAGUAAAAGAAUCAAGAUGCUUGAUUUGCACUGUAUGAAAAAACAGGAAGAGUCACAGGAAACCCGUGCACAGCCACACCGACGCACUCGGCGAGGGGUUUUCAAAAGUCUUGCGGUCUUUGCUUUUUUCUCGCCAUGAAGAUGAAUGUCCCUGGGGACAGACAGGCUCGUGUGUCCUCAACAUGUGACUGUCCCCUGCGAGGGUCCCUCCGCAGCCCUCACCCGCCCCAGAAGCUGUUGCGAUGCCAUGAUGAAGCUCAUCCUCCCCGCCUUGCCCCUCCCCUUUCGCCAACUUCUCAUCCCAGGAAACCAUCUUGCCAAAGUCGCGGCUCGGGAGAGGUCGAUGGAAUCACCGCCGCCCGAAUAAAAAAAGAGCCACACUAGCACCCAGACAAAUUCUUCUCUUUUGUUUUCUUUUGCCAUAGCGAGAAGCUGCUUGGAACGCGCCCUUUAUUUGUUUCGACGCUGGGUUCGGCUCUUUGUCGAGGAGGAGCAGUGGGGUAGAUUGUGCACGGAUUUUUGCAUGCAGUCAGGAACAGGGGAAGACAGUGCCCAGUGUUGACAGAAGAUAGUUGUGGCCAUUACUGAAAAGCCUAAAGGCUCGGGUCUGUGCCAAGGGCUUAACAAAGCUUGACGGUUCGUCCCAGACAUACCAAGCCUUGUGUGUGUGUGUGUGUGUGUGUGUGUGUGUGUGUAUAUGUGUGUGUUUCGUAUCUGGAGACUGAUGGUCUGCCGGCAGACUGGGACUUGAGGCGAGGUCUAGCAGGUGACGACAACACCAGGCCUGGUAGAGAGUCUUUUCGAGGGGUGGGUGAAGGAUUUAAGUGCUAAGACUAAACAAAAAACGGUGCAUUUGACGACGCUCGUCAAGAAAAAAAAACAAAAACAAAAAAAGAUGACUUGAACUUCGACUGGAGGGCUAUCUGUGACCGUCGGUUGUCCUGUCCAACCCUACUAUCACCGAUAAUCCUGUUCCAUUUUAGAAAACUCGUAGAAGUGCCUAAAAAAUGCUCAUCGACUCAACAACACGUGCAUCCGGAGUGUAUCACUAAAAGUCACAGACGCAAACACACACCGUCAGAACAUGGACCUUUUUUUUUUCCCGGGGAAAUAACAUCACACUUUCUCAGUUCCCGGAGGCGGUCUCCGCUUCGUCGACAUCACAAGUGACUUAACGAAGUGACGAAAACAAAAAGAAGUUGAAGAAACGACAAAUCAAAACAUAGCUUUGUAGAAUGUUUGGUGACUUUCAUGGUGUACCAUUGUUUCUUACCAUGGUUUGAGUAGUUUACAUGAGGAACGUGAGUGAGAAAAAAAAAACAUGUAUUGUAAACUGUGUAAUGUAUGUAAGGUGUCUCUUAUUUUGAGAGUUUAUAUUCAUAGUUUUAGAAAUAUAUUCAAAGUUAUUUAAAAUUUUGUGUUGUGUCUCCUAUCGAGGUAUGUUACGACCCCCCCAUAAACCCCCACCACCACCUCCACCCCCCAGAACAAUCACGUUUAGAUCAUAAAGUGUUAUUUUAUUAUUUGAGACCCUCUUUAGCCUGUUCGAACUCAUUAUACUAAAUUUUAUUCUCCUUUUUCUUUUUCAAAAAAAAUCUGAUGUAAUUUCAUGGUGCUUGAUUAACAUUGACAAUCCACAAUCAGACCUUUUCGGAAACGCCUCACUCGAGUUUCCGCAUUUUCACUUCGACUCGUCUCCACGUGAAUUUCUUUUUUGUUUUGAUUCGUGUGUAAUAUCCGUGGCAGGUGGUGAAAGCUUCUAUUUUGUUGUAAUUUAUCUUGUGUUACUCUUGGUCAAAUUUUAGUUGGAAAAAAAGAAAUGUUGUAAACUAUUCUAUUUUGAGAUGAAUGUAAUUUAUUGAGCUGUGCUACGUCACUGCACGGUUGGUCAUUUCAAGGUCUAACCUGUCAGGUCAGCGAAUGAGAAGUCGGGGGGCGGGGCGGCGUUUAAAAAAGUCGACCCGCCAAUAGAAAGCUACUGGAUCUCUCUUGCCUUGUCAUUGAUAAAAAAAUUAAAAAAUCACGGUGUCGCAGUAAUGAGCAUAGUUAUAGACUCGUCUGUGUUGUUGGAAAAAAAAAAAUGUUUAUUGUAUAGAUGACAUUUUACCAAAAAAAAAAGAGAAUAAAAUUUCAAAAAAGAUGUACUUUUCACUCUAGUAUAAUAGUAUUUCAUAACAAUAUUAAGUUGUUGCUGUGGCAACCAAAUGUUGCAAUUACUAAAGUUCGGUAUUUUUGUAAAUGACAUUGUUAAGUUUCUUCUUUUUUUUUUUUUUUUUUUGCUAGAACACUGUACACACGGUAGAUUGUAAAGAAGAUACGAACAUUUCUUAUUCUUCACUGAGAUUACGACAAUGACCUAAUAUUUUCAUUAGCGAAUAACAGCCUCUGUAGUGCUGUGACCGUAACACUUAAAUAGAUUAAAAGUCAUCAAUGUUACAUAGAUUAUAUAUAUAAAUAUAUAUAUAUAUAAGAACUAAAUAAUCUAUAAAUUAAUAAGUUGAGAUGUACAGCUCCUCCCCUGACAAAGGACCUUGAGGUUCCACUCUGAGACAUUUUAUUCGAGGCGUAUGUAUCACUAGAGUUAAGGAUUGCACUUUUCAUAAUGUUUAAAGAUGUGAUCUGUUUUUUUUUUUUGUUUCCUCUGCUACUACAACAAAUCUGUUUAUCAAUCAAAAGCAGAUAACACACAGUGAAUAACUUUAAUUCAACAUGUUGCAUGGGAAAAACAAUCUUUUUUUUCUUUUCUUACUAAAUGAUACUGAAUGUUACUAGUGAAAAAAAACACACACGUCUGUACACAACACGUCCUCAAUUGGUUACCCACGAUGCCCCUGUGUAUGGAAUCUUCUUGAGACGUGAUGUUUUUAGAAAUGUGUCGGCGGUGAUUGACUGAUGAUGGUUUUAAAACAAAAAAAGAAGAAAAGAACAUGUAAGCACUUUCUGAGCAGUUGGCCAACUGAGCAGACUCAGCUUAUCCAAACACUUUGCCUUAUCUUGAGUCCAUCGUGCUUGAAGGUUUUCUGUUUUUAAAAGCUCUUAAUGAAAUUUAUUCAAAGAGACGUGAAGGCGUCUCUCUCCCCGAAUCCCUCCUCGAUUUAAUUCCGAACCUUUAUAUCAAAAUUUUUUAAGUUGGCCAAAAGACGGCGACUGCAGCAGAGUGAACAGUCUCCUGAACGUUACCUCCGGUCUCCCAAAGAUCUGUAGUGACAUCUUUUUAUUUUUGUCCCAUUGCCUCACAAUGGAACAGUUUGGAUUUGUAACUCACAGCUUUAGCCAGCAGAGGGCACUACAGUGGAGACUGCAGGUGACGGGCGGUGACUGCCUGUGCCAUCGAUGUUGCAGUGCAGCCAAGAUAAAUUGACCCUCAUCGGAUUUAUAGUUUCAAUGUAAUCGUUUCUUAAUGUAUUCUUUUGCAUAUAUUUUGUGCUAUUUUAUGUUUCUAUAGUCCAAUGUUCCUUUGGUUCCAGCGAGAUAGUGUAAAAUCUAUUGGAAGACAGAAAUAAAGAAAA